CCCCGAUUCCUGCAGACACCGCCUAAUUUUAUUUUAAGUUAUAUCCGUCAUUUUCAUAUCCGUCGAAAAGGAAAGGGACGGAUGAUUCACAGCUCUUAAUUUUAGGAAGAAUGAGUAAAUGAAUGAAUAACCCGGGCGAAUCAAAAAGUACGUCGCUGGUAUGCAAUCCGCUUGACGUGCUGUCUACUUAACUGUGUCGGGUUAUUGACGGAUGUAAAAUUUUUAGACGGUUGGUUUAGAUUUGUGCUUAAAAUUGACGUGUGUUCCAUAAAUUUUAUGCUUGUCGAUUACCCGUCCCUUUCCUUUUCGGCGGAUAAGAAAAUGACAGAUACAACUUAAAAUAAAAUUAGAUGGUAUUUACA